CACGUGAUCUGCCUGCCUCGGCCUUCCAGAGUGCUGGGGUUACAGGCGUGAGCCACCGCGCCCGGCCCCCAGAUUCCACUAAAUUCUAAAGAGACCUUUCAGGCACGGGAUGGUGGCCUUGAUUUCAGUGGACAUUUCCAAAAUCGCGGCCUGGAAUUACCCGAACGCUGAUUUUCAGAGAUUCCCCAGGACUGCCGCGAGGGGGCGCCCGGCUCCCGGCCAACCUGGAGCACGCGCGGGAACCGCGGCGGAUCCGCACUCGCCGCCCCGGGGCGUCGACCGGGAAGGCGCAGCCGCGUUCUCUUCAGGACCCACCCGGGAGGCCGCGGUUCGGGACACCCGGUCACCAGGCGACCGACCACCUUUUUAGAGAGUGAACCCAAGGCACAGCCACAGUACCAGAAAAAAUUAUGUUAAGUAAGUUUAUACACCUAUGUUAUUACUUUAACAUAAAACAUGUAAAGAGGCAUUUAUUUGGAAUUAGAUAUUAAUCUGUAUGCUUUAAUUUUUGUGUCAUAAAUGCUCUUAUUAAAAGACAGGAAUAGUUAACACGGUAAAUUACUAGUAAUUACUAGUACAA